UACAGAGGGUGCGAGCGUUAAUCGGAAUUACUGGGCGUAAAGCGUGCGCAGGCGGUUAUUCAAGACAGAUGUGAAAUCCCCGGGCUCAACCUGGGAACUGCAUUUGUGACUGCAUAGCUAGAGUGCGGCAGAGGGAGAUGGAAUUCCGCGUGUAGCAGUGAAAUGCGUAGAUAUGCGGAGGAACACCGAUGGCGAAGGCAAUCUCCUGGGCCUGCACUGACGCUCAUGCACGAAAGCGUAGGGAGCAAACAGG
rnacentral:rRNA from 1 species